UACGGGGGGGGCAAGCGUUGUUCGGAAUUACUGGGCGUAAAGGGCUCGUAGGCGGCCAACUAAGUCAGACGUGAAAUCCCUCGGCUUAACCGGGGAACUGCAUCUGAUACUGGAUGGCUUGAGUUCGGGAGAGGGAUGCGGAAUUCCAGGUGUAGCGGUGAAAUGCGUAGAGAUCGGGAGGAAGGCCGGUGGCGAAGGCGGCGCUCUGGAACAUUUCUGACGCUGAGGCUCGAAAGCGUGGGGAGCAAACAGG
rnacentral:rRNA from 1 species